CCUUGGCCCCUGUUAUGCACUGAAUUCUGCCCCCCCCCGGCCCCCCAGUCAUUUAUUGAAGCCGUAACCCCCACGUGACCGUCUUUGGAGAGAGGGUCUUUAAGGGGGUUAAUUAACGUUAAGCGAGGUCAUAGGGUACGGUCCCAACCCAACGUGCCUGGCGUCUUUAGAAGCAGACGCCCUUCAGACACACAAGGGACAUCAGGGAGGUGUGUGCUCACGGGCAAGGCCACGCGGGGACACAGUGAGGCGGCCGCCUGCAAGCCAAGGAGCGAGGCCUCAGGAGACACCAGACCUGCCGACACUUGACUGUGGACUUCCAGAGACUCCUGGAGCUGAAGCCGCCCGUCUGUCGUGUUUUGUUACGGCUGCUCAGCUCCCGUCUCCUAGGACCACAGCUUUUCCAACUGAAGAGAAAGUAGAGGCUGCUUUUGAAGCAGUGGGGCCCAAGACCAGCAUCGUGCGGGACGUAGAUCGACUCUCCUGGUGCCUCGGCGUUAACCUUCUAGUUUAUCUGGAUUCAAGUCCCCCCACUUUUGUUGUGAUGAGCAUGAACUUAUUUUUAGUCACAAUUCUAAGACACUCACUUGAUUUCCUCCAACACUUGGCUCCUGAGUUCUGGUCACUCACGAGCCGGGCAGCGCCGAGCCGUGAUUGGUUGGAUCAUGGGUUGGGCAUCCCAAGAGAGCAGGUUGCAGCGUCUUGCUUUUAGUCCAACUACGAUAGACAACAUGGACUCUGGAGUCAGCCCAGUUGGAUCCACAUCCUCUGGCUGUGCAGCCGGGCGAGUUGUCACACUCCUCUGUAUCCCAGCGUUCUUGUUUGCAAGGUGGAGCGAACGGCCGUGCCGGCCUCUUGGGCUGUUGGAGGGUUACCUGAGCCAGUCCAGGUACAGAUCUUACAGUAGCUCCUGCCCAGAGGUCAGCGAGGAUGAGCUGUACUUAUCACUUAUAUCUGGUUAAAAAAUAAAACUUUCACGUUGACUUUAGAGAGAAACUAUGCACCUCUUAUCCUAAGAACAGUGAUCCCCACACAGCCAAGAAUUGUCUGGACCUGAGACGUGAACAGUCAGGUGGAGAAACCCGACCUAGAGGAUGUCUUGGACGUAGGUUGCGUCGCGAUCCAGCCCACACCUGCUUGGCUGGAGUAUCCGUCACACAGAUGACUCCCACCAGCACAGUUCUGAGGUUGCCCACGGCUCGGCUGAUGGGAAAACUGUUUGCGAGGCGAGGACGGGGGCUUCUCCUCCACCUUUUGCUUGAUUGGAGCCAAACGGCCUGGGCCCCCCAGUGUAGCAGCUCCUCCUGCCCAGGCCUAACCUGGGGGGCCGAGCGGGACCCCGAUCUUCCUGGGCCCAGGCCGAGUUCUUCUCCGCCCCCUUCCGCCCCCAUUGUCAGGCUGGGGCUCCCACUUGCCCUUGAUGGGGCGUUUCCGCGUGGGGUCUCUGGCUGUCCCUCGCUCACCUGGUUCCGACCGACUGGCCCGCCACCCGUCUGCACCAGGCGCACUGGCUGAUGUCUGGACACGAUGGAGGGUUCGGGUUCCAUGGUUUUGCAGGAGGCGCCCAGGCCCUGAACAGAUGAGCCGAUGCAAAGGGCCACGAAGGGAAUAAGAACAUUUCGCUUCCUCUGGGCACACACCUCCAUCUUGUUGAGAAGAAGCAGUUUGCUUUGCAGUUUCUCCCGUAAGGAGUCCAGGUGCCCUGUUAUCACCGUGCAGUUGACACAAACGGCACCUUUGUGUGGUGAGAGGGUGUUUAUUGUCUUAUUCCGUCUAACUUCAAGGCCAGGUUCUUAGAGGCGUGGACUGCCCAGCUGCAGGUCGUGGAGAUCACCGGCCUCCAUGUCCAGAAGAGAAGAGGCCAGGCCCAGAGAGAGACGUGACUCGGCCCAGCCGCCCUCCUCCCACCGGCGUUGGUUCUGGGCUGGGACGCAGUGGGUGUCCAGAUGCCUGACCACGUUCUCCAGGCCAAGGCAUACAAACAAGAGCCCGUGGCCUGGGGGUGUGAGGACAGCUGCACAAACAGAGCCUGGUGCCCGCAUGGGGGAGCGGGCAGUGCUGAGGGCAGUGGGGGAGACGGCGGGUCCCUCCAAGGCCCCUCCCUCUCUGAGCCUGAGCCCAGCGCCGCCUUGGAGAAGAGCUCCCGCCCUCGUUCCUGACCAGCGUCCGGCCAGGUUUAGUCUGGAAAAAGCGCAAGUGGAGGCUCCAGGGCCUGGACUGCGGCUGGCUCCUGGGACCUCUUGGCUCGUGGAGAGUUUCUAGAUGGAAAUGGUCACGGGGCGAAUGAUUUGCAGAGCAGGGACAAAGGGAUCCAACAGGGACUUCCGAUUGGCUGAGAGCCACAGAACCACAUGCCGGCAGAGAUGAGUGCUGCCCGCAGGUGGAAACACCUCACGGUGCAGGUACCGGGAUGGAGGCUCAGAGUGGACAAGGGAUGUGCCCAGCGCCACACGGCGAGCGGCUCUAGGCCUCAGUUCUCUCAACCCCAUUGCUCUCUCCGCCACGCGGGCAGCUAUCCCAGACCCUGAUUUUCGGAGACAUCUGGAUUUUGUAUAAUCUAUUCUGUUAAACAAAUGGGAUUUAAGGAGUGCGACUUCGUGUGAUUUUGAUUAUCUUAGGACACCUUUCAAUUAGAUAACUUACAGAGCAAAGAAAACACUCUUGCUUCUUGCUUAUCACGGGGCCUAAGUGUGAGUUUGAAGACCAUCGGCCGGGAGAGAAGCCUGGCGGACUUUGAGUGGCUGCCAGGCCCAUAGCCACGCUCUGAGCAAGGAGCCACAUUGUGAGCUUUAUGCCUGUGGCCUGGCUCCCCUGGCCGGUGGACGGUGCCGAAAGGGAAGACUGCCAUUUGGAGGCUGGACGUGAGGCCAGUAACCAACGAGGCGGCUCAGUACGAGGACUCUGCCCAAGAGAGGGGCGCUUAGUAAAGGGCAAUUCACUGGGCCGUUUGCAAGCCCAGCUCAGGGGCAGGGAGCGGGGAGGUGGGGAGGCGGGGAGCAGCUGGGGAGAGGAUGAUGGGGUCCGGAACGGGCUCUGGGAACAGCAAGAAGAAUGAGUGGGUCACGUGAAGGGUCAGAGCAUCCUGCCGGGCACCUCAGCUCACCUGGAGUCCUGAUCAUGUGACUGGGAAGUGCUUUCCUGGGCGUCUUCCCUUCCCUUCCUGUGUCUGCAGUAAAUACCCUGGAGCAGCCCGGAAUGGUCAUGGCCAGGACUUCCUGGGAGCUCCCCCCCGCCCCCCGAGUCCUGCACGGCUGGAAGGUGGAGGUGGUGUGAGGUGGCGAGUGUUCCUCGCUGAGCCCGUUCCUCUUCCUCCACGUCGAGACCUGGGUAAGCCCAGGGGAGGCCUUGGUGGCCCCAUUGUCAGCUGACCCUAAUCCAGUGGUUCUCAACCUGUGGGUCGC